rnacentral:rRNA from 1 species
AUUGAACGCUGGCGGCAUGCCUUACACAUGCAAGUCGAACGGCAGCACGGGUGCUUGCACCUGGUGGCGAGUGGCGAACGGGUGAGUAAUACAUCGGAACGUACCUUAUCGUGGGGGAUAACGCAGCGAAAGCUGUGCUAAUACCGCAUACGCCCUGAGGGGGAAAGCGGGGGAUCGCAAGACCUCGCGCGAUUAGAGCGGCCGAUGCCUGAUUAGCUUGUUGGUGGGGUAAAAGCCCACCAAGGCGACGAUCAGUAGCUGGUCUGAGAGGACGAUGAGCCACACUGGGAAUGAGACACGGCCCAGACUCCUACGGGAGGCAGCAGUGGGGAAUUUUGGACAAUGGGGGCAACCCUGAUCCAGCAAUGCCGCGUGAGUGAAGAAGGCCUUCGGGUUGUAAAGCUCUUUUGUCAGGGAAGAAACACCGGCUCUAACACAGUCCGGGAAUGACGGUACCUGAAGAAUAAGCACCGGCUAACUACGUGCCAGCCGCCGCGGUAA